rnacentral:rRNA from 1 species
GAUGAACGCUGGCGGCGUGCCUAACACAUGCAAGUCGAGCGAAAGGACGAGAAGCUUGUGUCUUUACUGUUAGCGGGUGACGGGUGUGUAACACGUCGAUAAGCUACUUAUAAGACUGGGAGAAUUACGUGAAACCGGUGCUAAUAUCGGCUAAUAUUAUGAACUGCUUGGUUCAAAAGUUUAAGACUCUUUUGCUGUUACUCAUAGACGGAUUCGCGUUGCAUUAGCUAGUUGGUAAGGUAACGUCUUGCCAAGGCAACGAUGCUUAUCUGACCUGAGAGGAUGAACAGCCACACUGGAACUAGGACGCGUUCCAGACUGCUACGGGAGGCAGCAGGGGGGAAUAUUGGACGAUGGGCGCAAGCCUGACGUAGCCAUGCCACGUGGGUGAUGAAGGUCUUCAGGUUGGUAAACGCGGUUUUUUGGAAAGAAUAGAUGUGGAUAUAUCUGUCAACGUCGUGACGGUGCCUAAUCAGAAAGCCACGGCUAACUUCGUG